GGGGAUGUAACGGGUUCGACGGAGGCGCCGAGGCCGGAAAAGCGGGCAGAUGCGCCUGACAUCUAUAAAACGGGCAAACUUAAAAUUAACUGACAACGAUUACGUUGCACCGGUAGCCGCUUAAGGCUGCCCGUCCUCUCCGAGAGGUCCACGGCUCGGAUGCAGGGCGUGACUUAGUGGAGACCGUGAGCGCGGAAAGCUUUGACCGCACCACGCAUCAUGAAGCUACCGAACCGGAGCGCCUGCCGUUUUGCGCCCGGGGCUGGGAACAGGGCUUAACGCCCGUAUAAGCGGCUGCGCCCGGAGAAGUUCCGUAGGAAGUGCUUUCGGACAGGGGUUCGACUCCCCUCAUCUCCACCA
rnacentral:tmRNA from 1 species